rnacentral:rRNA from 1 species
GUCCUUUUGAAUGUAUUUAAGGUCUGACCUGCCCAGUGAUUUAUUUUAACGGCCGCGGUAUAUUGACCGUGCAAAGGUAGCAUAAUCAUUAGUCUUUUAAAAGAGGGCUGGAAUGAAAGGUUUGACGAGGUAUUAACUGUCUCAUUUUAUUUGUAUUUAGAAUUUAACUUUUUAGUCAAAAGGCUUAAAUUUAAUUGGAAGACGAGAAGACCCUAUAGAGCUUUAUAGUAAUUAUUUUAAUUAUAAAUAUAUAAUUUUUAACUAGAUAUUUUACUAUUUUGUUGGGGUGACAGAAAAAUAAAAUUAACUUUUUUAUUUAUAAACAUUAAUUUAUGGUUAGUUGAUCCAUUAUUAUUGAUUAUUAGAUUAAGUUACCUUAGGGAUAACAGCGUAAUCCCCUUCCAGAGUUCAUAUUUACGAGUGGGGCUUGCGACCUCGAUGUUGGAUUAAGAUAAUAAUUAGGUGUAGCCGCUUAAUUUAUAGGUCUGUUCGACCUUUAAAUUCUU